rnacentral:rRNA from 1 species
CGAGAAAGCCCGCAAGGGUGAGUAAAGCGGCGCACGGGUGCGUAACACGUGGGUAAUCUGCCCUAGAGUCUGGAAUAACUCGCCGAAAGGCGUGCUAAUGCCGGAUGAGACCACGGGAGCCUCGGCUCCUACGGGAAAAGGUGGCCUCUGUAUACAAGCUAUCGCUCUAGGAUGAGCCCGCGGCCCAUCAGCUAGUUGGCGGGGUAAUGGCCCACCAAGGCUACGACGGGUAGCUGGUCUGAGAGGACGAUCAGCCACACUGGAACUGAGACACGGUCCAGACUCCUACGGGAGGCAGCAGUGGGGAAUCUUGCGCAAUGGGCGAAAGCCUGACGCAGCAACGCCGCGUGUGUGAUGAAGGUCUUCGGAUCGUAAAGCACUGUCGCGAGGGACG